rnacentral:rRNA from 1 species
GUGGGGAAUAUUGCACAAUGGGCGAAAGCCUGAUGCAGCAACGCCGCGUGAGGGACGACGGCCUUCGGGUUGUAAACCUCUUUUAGUAGGGAAGAAGCGAAAGUGACGGUACCUGCAGAAAAAGCACCGGCUAACUACGUGCCAGCAGCCGCGGUAAUACGUAGGGUGCAAGCGUUAUCCGGAAUUAUUGGGCGUAAAGAGCUCGUAGGCGGUCUGUCGCGUCUGAUGUGAAAACUGGAGGCUCAACCUCCAGCCUGCAGUGGGUACGGGCAGACUAGAGUGCGGUAGGGGAGAUUGGAAUUCCUGGUGUAGCGGUGGAAUGCGCAGAUAUCAGGAGGAACACCGAUGGCGAAGGCAGAUCUCUGGGCCGUAACUGACGCUGAGGAGCGAAAGCGUGGGGAGCGAACAGGAUUAGAAACCCGGGUAGUCC